AGCUUUUAACAAACACUGGUAGAGGUGGUAACGAGACCCAAGAAACUACAAAAAGCAAUCCAGGAUGAUUGAUCAUGGAGACAGCAGAGUCAAGAAAGGAAUUCUAGACCAGCUCUCCGGCCUGCUUGGCUUCAGAUGGCGUCUCUUCUAGAGUCUCGGUGCUUCCCAGAUUGGAGAGCUGAGUGCUUGGCUGUAACCCAGGGCUGGAGAUAUUGGAGUCGCCCAUCUGAUUCUGAAAUUAAAAGGAAAAGUAUAUCAUGUGAACAGUUUGCUGACUACUAUUUGGUCCAUAAGACAUCUGAGGUUAUCAGCAAUGCUAUUUUAAAAACAAGCAAAAAUUCCCCCAAAUGUUUUGCUUUGGACCCUCAGAAAAUGCUGAACAUGAAGACUUAGCCACAGGAUAUAUUUCUGAGUUCUUAAGAGAAUCAGAAAAGAACAGCAUAUUGUUUAUGUAAAGCACGGGAGAAAAAACAUGCAGCUAUUAAUACCACUCUUCUCUUUUUCAAAAAGUUUUCAUUCUACCGAAAGAAAUCUCACAGGGACUCCCCUGUGAGAUGAAUAAAUAGCUACUGUCAUCAAGGUAUUGUUCUUUGAAAGAAAAAACUGGUUACAAAAGAGUUAAUGAAAGCGACUUUUAAAACUAGUUAAUAAUAAAACUAGUGUAGAGAAGCAUACCACACACUCUGGGACACAUUUACACAUAUUUUUGGAAGGAUACAAAGUAUUAUCAGUGAUUAUUUCUAGGUGGUGGGAUUAUGUUUUUUUCUUUUACUCUAAUCUUUAAAUAUGAAAUAGAAACAACCUCUCAACCAAAAUCCAGGAUUAUAUCCUGUGGCUACAAGCAACUCAGUAAGGGCCGCUGUAAAGGA